AGGGAAAUAGCUCAGUGGUAGAGCGAGUGCUUGCCAUGCCCGAGGUCCUGGGUUCAAUCCCCAGUACCUCCA
rfam:Camelus ferus unplaced genomic scaffold scaffold319, whole genome shotgun sequence.